GACGAACGCUGGCGGCGUGCUUAACACAUGCAAGUCGAGCGGUAAGGCCCUUUCGGGGGUACACGAGCGGCGAACGGGUGAGUAACACGUGGGUGACCUGCCCUCAGCUCUGGGAUAAGCCUGGGAAACCGGGUCUAAUACUGGAUAUGACUCCAUGACGCAUGUUGUGGGGUGGAAAGCCUUGUGCGGCUGAGGAUGGGCCCGCGGCCUAUCAGCUUGUUGGUGGGGUGAGGCCUACCAAGGCGACGACGGGUAGCCGGCCUGAGAGGGCGACCGGCCACGCUGGGACUGAGACACGGCCCAGACUCCUACGGGAGGCAGCAGUGGGGAAUCUUGCGCAAUGGGCGAAAGCCUGACGCAGCGACGCCGCGUGAGGGAUGACGGCCUCGG
rnacentral:rRNA from 1 species